GAUCCUGCGCUUUUCAUCUCUCUUCAAAGGAUUUGGAAUAAGAGGUGGGUAAGGACGGUGCCAGCCGCCGCGGUAAUACCGGCGCCUCAAGUGGUAGUCGAUUUUAUUGGGCCUAAAACGUCCGUCGCCGGUCUGGUGCAUUCGUGGGUAAAUCAACCCGCUCAACGGGUUGAAUUCUGCGAGCACGGCCAGACUAGGGACCGGGAGAGGUGUAGGGUACGCUCGGGGUAGGGGUAAAAUCCUGUCAUCCCGAGCGGACCACCUGUUGCGAAGGCGCUACACUAGAACGGAUCCGACGGUCAGGGACGAAGCCUAGGGGCACGAACCGGAUUAGAUACCCGGGUAGUCCUAGGUGUAAACGCUGUGGACUUGGUGUUGGAAGCUCCCAGAGGGCUUUCAGUGCCGUAGCGAAGGUGAUAAGUCCACUGCCUGGGGAGUACGGUCGCAAGGCUGAAACUUAAAGGAAUUGGCGGGGGAACACCGCAACCUGAGGAUUGUGCGGUUUAAUUGGAUUCAACGCCGGAAAACUCACCAGUGCCGACGGACAAAUGAAAGCCAGGUUAACGACUUUGCUGGAUUGUUCGAGAGGUAGUGCAUGGCCGCCGUCAGUUCGUACCGUAAGGCGUUCUGUUAAGUCAGAUAACGAACGAGACCCUCAUCCCUAUUUG
rnacentral:rRNA from 1 species